UGUUACUGUAGGAUCCAAUGAAAAUCAGUGGCUCAGAUUAUAUCCAGCACAGAGACAGAAAAUAUUUCAGGAAAUCCAUACAGCUUCCAGGAUACAAAAUCAGUCUCAUACCAAAACCAUCCACUCCAUAGAAGAGACCGUGCAACACAGUAAGUCACAUCUCAUUCAUGUUAAACAUGCGUCAAACACUCCUGCAGAGGCACAUCUUAAAACAGUCGCAGUAAUAAUUCUGUAUCUUUCAGGCACAUGCAGCCUCACAUGGUUCCUUCCAGACCCAUUUCCCUUACUGUCACAAAGGACCAUAUCAGAUGCAAUCCACCUUCAGCUAUCUUCUACACAGAGUGAAAAGACAGCCUCGGCCCAUCAUUUACUGAGACAUUCCAAUCUUUGGAGAAGAGGAACAAGACAAGAGUAAAUAAAGGCAGAGAUACCAUCUCUGCAACUCGAGCAGUCAUCUGAUCCUUCCUGCUUCUCCGCCAAACUGUUCCCUGUACACAGCAGCAGAGCUCUGUAUUUUGGCCCUGCAUGCAGUCUUUUCUCACAUCUGUCACCUGCUGGGUGUCUAAAUCAUCAGUAAUGCAACAUAUGGAAUGGGUGAUCUGAAGAUAUCAAGCAGCUCCAAAACACCUACCGGUAAAGCAGCAGUGAUCACUUUAAGAAGACGAUGACAACUAAGUGGAAGCCAG
ensembl:lncRNA